GACGAACGCUGGCGGCGUGCUUAACACAUGCAAGUCGAGCGGUAAGGCCCUUCGGGGUACCCGAGCGGCGAACGGGUGAGUAACACGUGAGUAAUCUGCCCAUCACUUCGGGAUAACUCCGGGAAACCGGUGCUAAUACCGAAUAUGACCACUUCAGGCAUCUGAUGGUGGUGGAAAGUUCCGGCGGUGAUGGAUGAGCUCGCGGCCUAUCAGCUUGUUGGUGGGGUAGUGGCCUACCAAGGCUUCGACGGGUAGCCGGCCUGAGAGGGUGACCGGCCACAUUGGGACUGAGACACGGCCCAGACUCCUACGGGAGGCAGCAGUGGGGAAUAUUGGACAAUGGGCGAAAGCCUGAUCCAGCAACGCCGCGUGCGGGAUGACGGCCUUCGGGUUGUAAACCUCUUUCAGCAGGGACGAAGCGUAAGUGACGGUACCUGCAGAAGAAGCACCGGCCAACUACGUG
rnacentral:rRNA from 1 species